UACAGAGGGGGCAAGCGUUGUUCGGAAUUACUGGGCGUAAAGGGCGCGUAGGCGGCCUUCUAAGUCGAACGUGAAAUCCCCGGGCUCAACCCGGGAACUGCGUCCGAUACUGGAAGGCUUGAAUCCGGGAGAGGGAUGCGGAAUUCCAGGUGUAGCGGUGAAAUGCGUAGAUAUCUGGAGGAACACCUGCGGCGAAGGCGGCUUCCUGGACUGCAACUGACGCUGAGGCGCGAAAGCUAGGGGAGCAAACAGG
rnacentral:rRNA from 1 species